rnacentral:lncRNA from 1 species
GAUCUGGAGUCCGAAUCUAUUGAUACCGAAAAUGGCAGAGACAAAUUAACGUUCCACACUGGUAUACGUAAUUAGCAGCGACGAACACCACCUGUAAUGGUGGAUUACACGCGUGCGGUUAUGAGAUCCAGCUGUUAGAUCUUAGGGCCUUCCUGGGUUCUGAGGAGAAUGGGUGUAAAGCAAAAAAAGGUCCCAAGUGCUAAACAGGUG